rnacentral:misc_RNA from 1 species
UUGUCUCCCAUUGGUCCCAGAACUGAAUCCAUAUAAGAGAGGAAUUUAUAAAUGUGGAAUUAAGGGAAAUAUUGUGGAAAGUGUAUUUUUCAUCAAACUUUGAUGAUUUUAAGUGAAAAAUGAUCCUAUCUAAACAUUUUCAAAAUGGUUCGCAAGAUUGGAUGAAUACUGAUACAGCGUGGAAAGGAUGAAUACUGUAAAAGCGUGGAUAGAAUGAAUGAAUGAAUAAUGUGGCCACUCCAGCUGGAUUAUUCAAGGGAUCAAUGUCUCGGUAUUCUUAGAGGAUUAGAACUGAAAGCGUAUUCCUCUGUAAUUGACGCGCUUCGCGCUGGUGGGGACCUGACAGAGGAUUCAAGCGCGUUGCUUACCCAGCUUCGAAGCGCACUUUUUAUCUCCCAAGAUCGUCAUAAAACUGAGAUAAGGCGCGCAAUCAAUAAUGAAAUCCUCAACACUGUAUCUGAAAGGGUUGCCGGCCCGGACCAAAGUGAUGAAUGGAAAAGAGAAGGAAGAAGAAUUAUUCCCCUUCUCCCUCGGGCUCCGCCCAUCACCGGUUAUAAACAGAUCGCAGAUGCGGGUAAAGACGACCUCUCCUCUUUAAACAAAGAGCUUCCUCCGCCCUGGGAAACUAGGACGGUUGGACCUCUCCCACCCCUUCUCCGGGAGAUUAAAACUCCGUCGGAACCUGAAUUUUUAAAACCCGAGCCGGUUGAGCUGAACGGGUCUGUCAGCCCAAUAAAGACAGAGAUCAAGGUUGAGGAUGAGGAUGAGGAGGAGACGGGUCUAGUGUUUCUACCCAGCGGGAUGGCGGUCAGACUCACAGAGGACAAAAGUCAAAUUGGGAAAAAAGGCGGGAAAAGGAAAAGAUCAAUAUCUAAAUCAAUAGAAAUUUUCCCUAAAGGUGUUCCUAUUUUGAGCCCCAACGGGCGGAGAGAAAGUGUUUCUUCUCCACCGCGGAAGAUAACCUCGCCUCUGAGUCCUGUUCAUCAGGCUGGGCACGGAUAUGCCCGCCCACCUCCAAGUGCCCCAGCUGCUAACUCCCCUACAAUGUCUCCACCCAAAAGUACCGAGGCUCAACUGUUCUCUCCUCCUAAACGAGGUCCCGGUCGUCCUCCCGGUUCAUCCUCUCCUAGCGUCGGCCGUGGUCAGGGUGCAGUGAGAACGCGAGCUCCGCGAGCAUCUCGGCCCCGAGGACCGCGUAGCAGAGGUCGAGGACUACGAGCCUCUGCUCCUUUACAACACAAUGUGCCUGUAUCCAUUACUCAAUCACCAUUAGUACAAGGACCAACUGGUCAACCUAUUUUUACUCCGGUACACCCCGGAGCUAGACCAUUCAGAACUUCCACGCCUAAACUAUCCGGUCUUGCGCAGAAACAAGGUUAUUCCCAGUUAAACAGUUUACCUCUCAGCUCGGCUGGAUUGGUUGGUUUGACUCAGGUAUUGAGUCAAACUUACCCUCAGGACCUCUCAACAACCUCUUCUGAGGCUAAACCUAACCUCCAGAACUCUCAGUCUACUAUUGGAUACUUGCAGGCUCAAAAUCUAUCUUCCCACGAUUUCUCCACUUUUGCUUCUCAAGGUGGAAGCCAGCUCACCUCCCUAUCAGUUCCCCAGCUCUCAGGGCUAACCCAGAUACCAGCACAGUUCACACAAACUCGGGAACAGUUCUCUACUCCAGUCUUGACAACCCUUCCCUCUCAGGGAGCUCAAACCAACCACACUCUUCAUCUCUCUAACUCCGGGAGCUCCAAUCCCAGUUUACAUCUCUCAAACCAGAGUUUUUCUCAUUUCUCCAGUUCAGGAUUGAAAGUUAUCUCCCACUCCGGAGCUAAGAUUGUUCCUAAAGCCGGUGGAACGGUUUAUGUAGUUCCCGGAAACACUCAGAGAUUACUCUCCCCUGCUCCGCGUCUUGUAACAGUUACCAGUGGUACUCCUCGGCUUGCAACCAUAGCUUCUACCCCUGGGGUAUCCAGUGUCAUAAGAACCAUCAGAACCUCAUCCUUUCCUGGCUCUAAUAAAUCCGUUAUUGUCGUUCAGAAGUCUGGCCCCACUAGUAUCCGUGGAUCCAGGCCUAGCACUGUAGCUUUGUACCGACCUGCCCGGGGCGGAAUUCCGGUUUCCCGGGGGAUUUCAUCAGGAAUGGUUCGACUUCCAUCCUUCCCCCGUCCUACACUAAUCCGACAACAGAGUGCCAAUGGUAACCUGUAUUUGGUUGAGUUGGGACAGGAUUCGAACCAUCAACAAACCAUGUUACCGAACUCUCUGAUGACCAGUGAACCCGGAGCUCCAACCUUACAGAGAAUAAUAUCCAAACCUAUUUCCAGCUCUAAACCAAUGCCUAUAGUUAUUAGUUCAAGUUCGCAAACAUUAUCGAAGAAGAUUUUGCAUGAUGGCGGUGGAAACCCGGAGCAUGAACCUGAAACCUGGUUCCAGGCUAAGGAUAUUCCCGGAGCCAACCCUAAACCUACUCCGGAUACAAAGAGGAGCUCAGUGAAAACUGGAUUAUCGGAGCUGGAAGACGGAAACAUGACAAAAUAUUCUGAUAUAUUCAGUCUAGCACUAGAGCAGGCGAAUAUACCUGCAGAGAACAAUAUUGCUCCGGAGUCCCAUAAAUCCUUAUCCUCGAGUACUGGUAGGUUUGUGACUCUCCCAGCUCGGGGGAACUCCGUCCAGCUUCUCAAAAACGAGUCUUCGGUUCCUGUCUCUGGGUCCUUGGUUUCUAACUCAGGAACCCUGGUUCAUACUUACGGGUCUUUAGUUCAAAACUCUAGCUCCCUGGUUUCUGGGACCCUAUUGUCCAACUCUGGGACUCUGGUUCAGAACUCUGGAAUCUUAAUUUCUAAAUCCGGGUCUCUGGUUCUCAACUCUGGAACCCUAAUGUCUAACUCAGGUAUCCUGGUUUCCAACUCUGGGUCCCUAGUUCCUGUCUCCGGAUCUGUUGCUCCGAUAUCGGAGAACCAACCUAAAUUCAUACCUGAUGCCCAGUCUUUGUCCAACCUUGCCAUGAACGAGAUUAUUCAGGAGAAUAUUUUAGAUUCUCCGUCUUAAUUUGACAACAGUUAGUAUUUUUUCACGCACCUCUGAAAUAUUUAAAAGUAUUCGGCCUUAACCUUAUUCUUGAACACCCUAGACAUGUACAGUACAUAAUAUAUAAACUUUGAAUUUCGGACUUGUUUAAAAAUAUAUUUAUUGUGAAGUUGUAAACAUGCAGACUAUGUAUUAUCUACACUGGUCCUUAAUUGUAAACAUAACUUAUCAAUCAGGAAUUAUUCCUUGUGUUGAAAUGUCCCCGCCAUAAUAAGAAAUGUAUUCCGACAUUUUUAUAUUAUUACUCACAUUUAUUAUGUGAUUUGGAUUUAUAAAUAAACAUCUAUGCAUUAUUAA